UACGUAGGAGGCAAGCGUUAUCCGGAGUUACUGGGCGUAAAGCGCGUGUAGGCGGCUCGGUAAGUUACUUGUGAAAGCUCCUGGCUAAACUAGGAGAGGUUGAGUGAUACUGCCAGUCUUGAAUAGAGGAGAGGUUGACGGAAUUCCGCGUGUAGUGGUGAAAUGCGUAGAGAUGCGGAAGAACACCAGUGGCGAAGGCGGUCAACUGGCCUGAUAUUGACACUCAGACGCGAAGGCAUGGGUAGCGAACGGG
rnacentral:rRNA from 1 species